CUCCACAGCGCAGGUCUAUUCCCUCCGAAAUGAAACUGUUCGUCGCGAUUUUUGCUAUUCUGUCCAUCGUUGUAAUUGCCGCUUCAGUUCCAGUGCCAGAUGGAGCAGAUGACAUGAAUCUAAUCAUUGCGGAUCCUAACGCCAUCAAUCCUGACCGGGGAGUUGAUGGAUUGGACCGAGGAAAACGUGCACCGUGGAUUGGACUAGCUGUCGGAGGGCUCGCGUCCCUGCUCGGACAUGCCAUCGGUCGCGGUUGACAACGAGAACCGAACACCUCUUUCAAGGGCUUAACUCUGUCCUAAAUAUUGGAAUGAAAACAAUAAUAAUUUACUCGGGUUUCUAUAAGUUUGGUAAUGUACCCGAUUUUAGUAUUUCAGAAUAAAUUUUGAGAUGUUAGUACACUGA